UAGGGAAUAUUGGUCAAUGGGGGCGACCCUGAACCAGCCAUGCCGCGUGCAGGAAGAAGGCCUUCUGGGUUGUAAACUGCUUUUAUACAGGAAUAAAAAGGGUCUGCGGACUUUAUUGCAUGUACUGUAUGAAUAAGCACCGGCUAACUCCGUGCCAGCAGCCGCGGUAAUACGGAGGGUGCAAGCGUUGUCCGGAUUUAUUGGGUUUAAAGGGUGCGUAGGCGGUUAUUUAAGCCAGUGGUGAAAACCCUGAGCUCAACUGAGGGCUUGCCAUUGAUACUGGGUAACUUGAUUACCGUAUAGGUAGGCGGAAUUUAUGGUGUAGCGGUGAAAUGCAUAGAUACCAUAAAGAACACCGAUAGCGAAGGCAGCUUACUGGACGGUAAAUGACGCUGAUGCACGAAAGCGUGGGUAGCGAACGGGAUUAGAUACCCCCGUAGUCC
rnacentral:rRNA from 1 species